UGCACGUAAUUAUUUCUCUUAUCUACACGUAUAUGGUAUAUGUUGCUAUUGAUGGAAACCGAAUUUCUAUUUAGUUUUUUAGGGCAUAUUAUUCUGGGUUUUAUUUUAUUUCGUCAUUUUGUUAUUUUUUGGGUAAUAUUCUAAUUUAAUUACUGGAGGUCGAUUAUUAUUUACUUUUCCGAAUAUUAUGUGGUUAUUAGAAUUUCUGAGCAAAGAGGAGUAAGGGUGUUGAAAUUUCUGGUUGUAUUUAUUUGCUGAGAAUAAAAAAUUAUGCUUUGGUUUAAUGAACUUUUGGAAUAUAUGUUAUUGGUCAUUGUGUAAUUGGAUUUAUUUUCAUUCAUGUCUCGAUUUCGUGCCUUUUAUUUCCCCAAAAGCAAAGGACAAAUGUCAUUUGGAUGUCGUAUUUUAUGAGUAAAAAAUGUUGAAUGUGUGCUUGUCUGUAAUGGUUGUUCUGGGCAAUUUUGAUAUUUGAACAUUUGGGAAUUAUUAGUUUUCAGGUUGAUCAUCUCUGAUUCAGGGUUAUAAUAUUGUUUGAAAAAGAGACUAAUCAGAAGAUGGUAGAAGAAUUGAAGCAUAAUGAAAACUCAUGGAUGAACACAACAGAGCAGUCCUCUAGAAUGGUUGAGAUUGAUAAAAAUGUUACCUUGAUGCCUGAAUCAGUGGUGAUCGUGGAUGGAAUUGAAGCUUCUCAUCCUCAGCAGCCUCAGUCUCACAAUUUGAAGACCACCAUUGAUGGAAAAUUGGGCUUUCCCGAUCGUGCCUUAGAGGCUGCUGGUGCUGCAGUUCUCUCAGCCAUUCUUGUUAAUCCACUUGAUGUUGCCAAGACGCGUUGCAAGCACAGGCUGCUGGAGUUGCUUUCUCUCAUUCAUUGAGUGAUUUUACCAGUCGAAUGGCCUUUUCUGGACUGAAUAUGUUGUUUGCAGAUCUAAGGUGUUCUCCAUCGUGCACCCGUGCUGAUGUUCAUGGUAGAGUGUCAAUUUGUGCUCCUAAUUGUUUCCAUUACGAAGGAACAUUGGAUGUCUUCUAUAAAAUUAUUCGACAGGUAAGUGCAGUGUUGGUUACUUCUACACAAACUAUAAAGUUUGACAAGCUGUGUUAUCAUUUCAGUUGUUAGAUAAAUAAUGGUUCUGUGCUUUACAAGAAGGAAUUUCUAGGCUGUGGAGAGGUACAAAUGCUGGCUUAGCUCUUUCGGUACCCACUGUGGGCAUCUACUUGCCAUGCUAUGACAUUUUCCUUCAGCAGUUAGAGAAAUUCACAGCACAAAAUGCUCCAAGCAUGACACCAUAUGCACCAUUGGUGGCAGGCUCAUUGGCUCGAUCUUUAGCUUGCACAAGUUGCUAUCCCAUUGAACUUGCCAAAACACGUAUGCAGGCGUUCAAGGAUUGUGUUAGGAAGCCUCCUGGAGUAUGGAAGAAUUUACUUGAAGUUAUCUAUCAGAUCAAGAGCACGACUAGCAUCACUAACAGGUGUACAUUGAUCUUCUUCGCUUACUAAAGAAGGUUGAUAUUAUUAAACUGUAAGUUACAUUAUUUCUAAAACCAACAGGCAGCCAAAGAUUUGUGCAUAGAAAUAAAGUAAGGUAUUGUGGCCAUGCCAAUCGUUUUCUAGAAAC